rnacentral:SRP_RNA from 1 species
GGCAAGGCUUUGUCGGGGAGGUAGGCGCUCCCUGUUACUGUGAAACCGUCUAUAGCAGGAUGAAGCAGUUCCGGCGGUGUCUGGGACUUUAGUGUCUGCUGACUUUUCCGAACGUUGAUACCCUGCCCUUUAUGACUCAUAUGAUAUCGAACCGUGCCAGGCCCUGACGGGAGCAACACUAAGGUAUCGUAUGGGUGCUUAGAGGAUACAGGGUGGAGGUAGGUGGGUCGGUAAGGCUUUGGUCUCUGCAUCCACGGGACUGCAUGCCUUGCC